ACCCCAAAAGUGCCCAAUUACAGAGGGAUCUUACCCGACUAGUUCCGACGAGAUGUCUAUGUCCCAGAUGACCCAAGCAAGAUAAAAGAAUAUGAAGCUUUGAUCUUCUGGUGCUUAUUGCACAAAAACAUCUGCGGAGUUGCUGCAACUCUCAGAAAAUUAAAGCUUGCACAAAUAUUGCUCCAGCUCUCCAGAUGGUGGCACCCCAGCCCUGUUUUUCUGUAAGGCAAUUAAAAA